rnacentral:lncRNA from 1 species
GGGGUUUUUGGGGGAUAUAUUAGAGUUAUGUUUAUAUAUGUUUGGUCCCUCAUUGGAGUCCACCUGUGUAGGUUCGGACCCGAGGAACCGAGGACCCCAGCAGUGAGUGAGCUGCUUCAGUGUCUGGUCAGAGCUAACCAGAGGUGAGUGGAAACAAGCUUAAUGUUUUAAAUCGAAUAACUGAAUGUUUUGAGCAUGCUUCACGCAUCAUGAUGAUAUGUAAUAGGCUGAUUGCAUUAGUUCACGAAUAUGUUGCAUUGCAUUUUCUUUUGUGGUUGUGGGUGAAUGCUGUAUGAUCCAAUUAGUCCACGAGACUUAAUAUAUGAUAUAACAGGAAGACCAGGACCCCAUGCUACGGCCUGGCACGAGGCUUAAUACAUGAUAUGACAGGAAGACCAGGACCCCAUGCUACGGCCUGGCACGAGGCUUAAUACAUGAUAUGACAGGAAGACCAGGACCCCAUGCUACGGCCUGGCACGAGACUUUAUGUAUGUUAUGACAGGAAGACCAGGACCCCAUGCUACGGCCUGGCACGAGACUAUGUUGGGACUAAUUGGUGACAGGUUCACCCUUGAUGUGAAUUGUUUGUGAUAUGAUGCAUUUCAUGAAAGCAUGAAUUUUAAUAUAAUGUUUUUAGUUUCUGCUCACUGGGCUUUUAGCUCACCCCUCUCCCAUAACCCCAG